rnacentral:rRNA from 1 species
GGGGGAUAACACUUAGAAAUAGGUGCUAAUACCGCAUAAGCGCACAGCUUCGCAUGAAGGAGUGUGAAAAACUAAGGUGGUAUAUGAUGGAUCCGCGUCUGAUUAGCCAGUUGGUGAGGUAACGGCUCACCAAAGCGACGAUCAGUAGCCGGCCUGAGAGGGCGGACGGCCACAUUGGGACUGAGACACGGCCCAGACUCCUGCGGGAGGCAGCAGUGGGGGAUAUUGCACAAUGGGGGAAACCCUGAUGCAGCGACGCCGCGUGAGUGAAGAAGUAAUUCGUUACGUAAAGCUCUAUCAGCAGGGAAGAAAAUGACGGUACCUGACUAAGAAGCCCCGGCUAACUACGUGCCAGCAGCCGCGGUAAUACGUAGGGGGCAAGCGUUAUCCGGAAUUACUGGGUGUAAAGGGAGCGCAGACGGCAGUGCAAGUCUGGAGUGAAAGCCCGUGGCUUAACUACGGGACUGCUCUGGAAACUGUGCAGCUAGAGUGCAGGAGAGGCAGGCGGAAUUCCUAGUGUAGCGGUGAAAUGCGUAGAUAUUAGGAGGAACACCGGUGGCGAAGGCGGCCUGCUGGACUGUAACUGACGUUGAGGCUCGAAAGCGUGGGGAGCAAACAGGAUUAGAUACCCUGGUAGUCCACGCCGUAAAC